CAGUAAUCAAGGUAGAAAAAUAAAAGCAACUUAAUUAUUGACAUUCCCCUCGUUCAAAAUGAGUAUAUUAACGAACGGAAUGUAAAUUAUGCUCGCCUAAUUCAACUUUUCAGCAGACAGAGGGUAUAAAAUCUAAUAAACUACCCAAAUUUCAUUCGCAUUAAACAAGAAAUGCCAUAGAAGACCACGGGGCAAACGACAAAAGAUUAAACAAGCCAAUUUUCACGUAAAGUUCAAGCAGCCUAUCCUACCACACAUGCGAAAGAUAAAUUAACUAACAAGACGAAAACAUAUAUUAAUCUUUUUUUUCCCCCUAAAACAGAUGAACGAGUUAAUCAGCAGACUUUUCAAAAUUCACUCCUAGCAAGUUACGG
rnacentral:misc_RNA from 1 species